rnacentral:rRNA from 1 species
GAUGAACGCUAGCUACAGGCUUAACACAUGCAAGUCGAGGGACCGGCGCACGGGUGAGUAACACGUAUCCAACCUGCCCUUUACUCGGGGAUCGCCUUUCGAAAGCAAAAUUAAUACCCGAUAUAAAGGAUGGGGAUGCGUUCCUUUAGGUUGUUGGUGAGGUAACGGCUCACCAAGCCUUCGAUGGUUAGGGGUUCUGAGAGGAAGGUCCCCCACAACUGAACUGAGACACGGUCCAAAAUCCUACGGGAGGCAGCAGUGAGGAAUAUUGGGCAAGGGGGGCUAGCCUGAACAAGCCAAGUAGAGUGAAGGAGGAAGGCGUAGGAGUAGUAAACUUCUGUUAUAUAAGAAUAGGUACCAUAUGAAUAAGGAUCGGCUAACUCCGUGCCAGCCGCCGCGGUAAUUC